ACUCCCCCUCCACUGCUUCUCUCCCCUGCCCCUGAGCCAGGCAGGAGCAUCCCCAUGUGCCCACACCUGGGUGGUCUUGGCGUAUGCCCUCCCACUGCUCCUGUCCUGCUGCAGUCUCCUUCCUCACCCAAGGUGAAUUUCUCAAUCUGCAUGCUCAAGGGUCUCCCUGACUCCACUCUUAGCACCCCCUCCACCCAGUAGAGGAGGAGCAUUCUAAAACGUACAUCGGAGCAUGGUGCUCCCUUGCUCAAAAGCCUUCACCGGCUCCCUUACUAAUCUGGGAAAUUUCCAACAAGGAUCAUCUGAAGCUCAGCCUCUGGGGUCUUGCGGAGCUGGUUUCCUGCCUUCCUCUCGUGCCCUCCUGCUUCCCUCCACCAAUCAAAAUUGUCUGGCUGGGGUCCCUCCUGUGGGUUCCCACAGCACUCUGGGCUUCUUCCAUCACAACCAGAAUGAAAACCGCUGCUGUGACUCCUGAGCUGAGUUCUCCAAGGAAGGGUCUGAUUCUCCACUAAAGGCCAACACCGGACACCCAGUAGGUUCUGAAUAAACAUGUAUUGAUGACUGAAUGAAAGAAGCCUGCUAUCUCCCUUUAUAGAUAUGAAAACUGAGGCUCAGAGUAAUAACUUGCUCAAGAUCACACUGUUUGUGCAAGACAAAACCAGGAUUUGAACCCAGCCAUUCUCUGAGGAUCUCCUGCUGGGGGAGCCGAGGAUUCAUUGCCAAAAGGCACAGCCUCAGGUAGAUGCUCCAGUGAGGAAGACAGCAAGACAAACAAGCACGGCAGUGCAGAGGCCGACCUCAGGCUCCGUGCCCCAUCCCAGACUGCAUCACCUGACACUAGAUUCACACCUGGGUGUGUCUGGACCAGUACCUUGUCAAGGCCAAGGACGGGGAGGGCAAUCUCGCUCCUGUUGUAGACACAGAGCCCAACCCGGCACCAGGAAGCACUCCAUUAAUAUUCACAAAAGGACCGAAGAAUGAAAAAAUGUCUUGGAGCUUAAAAGAAAGGGUGCCCAUACACAAGGCCAUGGCAUGGCAGGGGUGGGGUGGGGGAGCAGGAAGGAGCCCACACAAUUAAUACACAAUUUGCCCACUUGAAGGAUGGAGAAACUGAGACUGAAAGAGGCUAGGGGAUGUGCCCAAGGACCUCAAAGCUACAAGAAUGGCGCAGGACCCGCAGCUCCCCAGAUACAAGAUAGGCUGGUACAUAUAAAUUCCAGGUACAGCUGCUUCAAGCAUCAGAGGGGUAAUGUUUGCAGGUCUGAGACUCCUCAAAACGCUGAGUACAGGUGAGGGUGCAGUAUCCCAUCUUCUCUCCAAAGCCUCAAAACAGCUCUGGGUGGCAGAUAGACCCUCAUACCACAGACAGAAAAACCGGGGCUCUGGGAGAGGGUGUAGGAUUCCCCAACCCCAGGCCCUUCUUGGUCAGUACCUCAGUGGGACUCUCCUGCUGACUGGCGGUUCCACCUCCAUCCCCUCUGAAAUUCACCAGCACGGGGUGCAGACCUGGGCCCGGGCCUGAAUCUGCCUCUGCCGACUGGGUGACUCGGGCAGGGACCAGCCCUCUUUGAGCCUCAGCUUUCCCAAGAGCCAUCUCCUCUGCCCCACGCAGCUGCUUCAAGGAGCAGAGGAAAGAGCAUGCAUGGACGAUCAGUCACUUCAGUCGUCUCCGACUCUUUGCGAUCCUGUGAACUGUACCUGCCAGGCUCCUCUGUCCAUGGGAUUCUCCAGGAGCCAGUUGUCCCUGCUGUUUUCCUGAUCCUCUCCCACCAGUGGCCUCCAUCCACAUCUGGGCCUGAGCCUGGGCUUUGCAGCCAGCAUCAUGUAUCCUGAGCUAAGCUGGCUUGGCAGACCAGAACAUAUCCCAGAUCACAGAGGCCAACUGCCUCCCGUGGCCAGCAAGGGUGGACUCCGUCUGCCACACAACAACGAUGACGACAACAAUAAUAAUCACAAGUGCGCCCAGCAUUUCCUGAGCACAUACCAGGCCCCAGGCCUUGGGCAAAGUCCUGCACUGUCUCAGCCUUCUCAGAACCACGUCCACUUUACAGAUGGGGAAACCAAGCCCAGUGAGGUCAAGGCCAUUUCCCCAUCUCACUUGGGAUCCCCAGCUCAUCACCAUCACACACUUCGGUUGGAGGUGGGACCCUCGGUCAGCACCCUGCCCUGGCUCCAUCCUUUCCUGACUGGGUCCUCUGUACACCGACCCUACCUAAUGGGGGGUUUCAGGCAACACAGAAUGGGCCCCCACUCCCUGAUCGAUCCCCUGAUGUCUGGCACAGAGCAGAGCCCAUGAACAAAGCGUGAGGAUGCUGCUCCCUAUGUCACCCCUGCUGGCUCCGCUGCCCUCCCGCUCCGCUCCUCGAGCAGCUCUGUGUGGGGCUGCUCACAGGGCUGCUGGGCUGCCAACAGCAGAAGGGCCAGGCUGCCGCCUCAUACCAGUGCUGGGCCCGAGGCUUCAUUCUCUGGCUGUGUGACUAUGGGCCCAUUACCAAACCUCUCUGUGCCUCGGCCGCUUUAUCUGAAUCACACCUGACUCCACCGCCUGCCUCAUCCCUCAUCUCCAAUCCAUCCUGUCACCUGCCCAGGCCACAUACCUGAGUGUUCAAGUCACUGAUGGCCCUUGUCUGGAAGGGAGCACUGGCUCCUAGCAACUCCAGGUGUCCCCUGGGUGCCUCCCCUAAACCCUUGGCUCAGAUGCCAGAGAGC
ensembl:lncRNA